rnacentral:rRNA from 1 species
AAAAGAAACUAACAAGGAUUCCCCUAGUAACUGCGAGUGAAGCGGGAAAAGCUCAAAUUUAAAAUCUGGCGGCUUUGGUCGUCCGAGUUGUAUUCUAGAGAAGUGUUUUCCGCGUUGGACCGUGUAUAAGUCUCUUGGAAUAGAGCGUCAUAGAGGGUGAGAAUCCCGUCUUUGACACGGACUACCAAUGCUUUGUGAUACACUCUCAAAGAGUCGAGUUGUUUGGGAAUGCAGCUCAAAAUGGGUGGUAAAUUCCAUCUAAAGCUAAAUAUUGGCGAGAGACCGAUAGCGAACAAGUACCGUGAGGGAAAGAUGAAAAGCACUUUGGAAAGAGAGUUAAACAGUACGUGAAAUUGCUGAAAGGGAAACGCUUGAAGUCAGUCGCGUUAGCUAGAACUCAACCAGGCUUGCUUGGCGUAUUUUCUAGUUAACGGGCCAGCAUCAGUUUUGACCGCAGGAAAAGGGCCAGGGAAAUGUGGCAUCUUCGGAUGUGUUAUAGUCUCUGGUCGUAUACUGUGAUUGGGACUGAGGACCGCAGCACGCGCAAGCUGUGCUUAGGAUGCUGGCGUAAUGGCUUUAAACGACCC